rnacentral:rRNA from 1 species
UACGUAGGGGGCGAGCGUUGUUCGGAGUUACUGGGCGUAAAGGGCGCGUAGGCGGCGAUCCAAGUUAGGCGUGAAAGCCCCGGGCUUAACCUGGGAAUUGCGCUUAAGACUGGACUGCUUGAGUGCGGGAGAGGUGAGUGGAAUUCCCAGUGUAGAGGUGAAAUGCGUAGAUAUUGGGAAGAACACCAGUGGCGAAGGCGGCUCGCUGGCCCGCAACUGACGCUGAGGCGCGAAAGCGUGGGGAGCAAACAGG